GUCAAAUCAUCAUGCCCCUUAUGACCUGGGCUACACACGUGCUACAAUGGAUGGUACAAAGGGUCGCGAAACCGCGAGGUCGAGCCAAUCCCACAAAACCAUUCUCAGUUCGGAUUGUAGGCUGCAACUCGCCUACAUGAAGCUGGAAUCGCUAGUAAUCGCGGAUCAGCAUGCCGCGGUCGAAUACGUUCCCGGGCCUU
rnacentral:rRNA from 1 species